rnacentral:rRNA from 1 species
UACGUAGGGUGCGAGCGUUGUCCGGAAUUAUUGGGCGUAAAGAGCUUGUAGGUGGUUUGUCGCGUCUGCUGUGAAAAUCCGAGGCUCAACCUCGGACUUGCAGUGGGUACGGGCAGACUAGAGUGCGGUAGGGGAGAUUGGAAUUCCUGGUGUAGCGGUGGAAUGCGCAGAUAUCAGGAGGAACACCGAUGGCGAAGGCAGAUCUCUGGGCCGUAACUGACGCUGAGGAGCGAAAGCGUGGGGAGCGAACAGG